UGGCGGCGUGCCUAAUACAUGCAAGUCGAACGGUCUUUUCUAUGGAAGCUUGCUUCCACUGAGAAGAUAGUGGCGAACGGGUGAGUAACACGUGGGUAACCUGCCCAUAAGAGGGGGAUAACAUCCGGAAACGGGUGCUAAUACCGCAUAGUUUUCUUGAUCGCAUGAUUGAGAAAGGAAAGACGGCCUUUGUGCUGUCGCUUAUGGAUGGACCCGCGGCGUAUUAGUUAGUUGGUGAGGUAACGGCUCACCAAGACGAUGAUACGUAGCCGACCUGAGAGGGUGAUCGGCCACAUUGGGACUGAGACACGGCCCAAACUCCUACGGGAGGCAGCAGUAGGGAAUCUUCCGCAAUGGACGAAAGUCUGACGGAGCAACGCCGCGUGAGUGAAAGAAGGUUUUCGGAUCGUAAAACUCUGUUGUCAGAGAAGAACAAGUUGGAGAGUAACUGCUCCAGCCUUGACGGUAUCUGACCAGAAAGCCACGGCUAACUACGUGCCAGCCGCCGC
rnacentral:rRNA from 1 species